rnacentral:rRNA from 1 species
CCUACGGGUGGCAGCAGUGAGGAAUAUUGGUCAAUGGACGAGAGUCUGAUCCAGCCAAGUAGCGUGAAGGAUGACUGCCCUAUGGGUUGUAAACUUCUUUUAUAUGGGAAUAAAAUGUUCCACGUGUGGGAUUUUGUAUGUCCCAUAUGAAUACGGAUCGGCUAACUCUGUGCCAGCAGCCGCGGUAAUACGGAGGAGCCGAGCGUUAUCCGGAUUUAUUGGGUUUAAAGGGAGCGUAGGUGGAUUGUUAAGUCAGUAGUGAAAGUUUGCGGCUCAACCGUAGAAUUGCAGUUGAAACUGGCAGUCGUGAGUACAGGAGAGGUGGGCGGAAUUCGUGGUGUAGCGGUGAAAUGCUUAGAUAUCACGAAGAACUCCGAUUGCGAAGGCAGCUCACUGGACUGCAACUGACACUGAGGCUCGAAAGUGUGGGUAGCAAACAGGAUUAGAUACCCGAGUAGUC